rnacentral:rRNA from 1 species
CCUACGGGAGGCAGCAGUGAGGAAUAUUGGUCAAUGGACGCAAGUCUGAACCAGCCAUGCCGCGUGCAGGAAGACGGCUCUAUGAGUUGUAAACUGCUUUUGUACGGGGGUAAACGCAGAUACGCGUAUCUGUCUGAAAGUAUCGUACGAAUAAGGAUCGGCUAACUCCGUGCCCGCAGCCGCGGUAAUACGGAGGAUUCAAGCGUUAUCCGGAUUUAUUGGGUUUAAAGGGGUCGUAGGCGGUCGGAUAAGUUAGAGGUGAAAUCCCGAGGCUCAACUUCGGAAUUGCCUCUGAUACUGUUCGGCUAGAGAGUAGUGGCGGUAGGCGGAAUGUAUGGUGUAGCGGUGAAAUGCUUAGAGAUCAUACAGAACACCGAUUGCGAAGGCAGCUUACCAAGCUACUUCUGACGUUGAGGCACGAAAGCGUGGGGAGCAAACAGGAUUAGAUACCCGUGUAGUC